rnacentral:lncRNA from 1 species
CUUUCCCUGAAAAGUCUGAAUAUUGAGAGAAAAGUCGUUUGGGCCCUAAUUGGAGGUCAGGCUGAGGACAAUAAUGAGUCCUGUACUAACCUUGCCUCCUACUGUUUCUGAGAUGUGGUAAGAGUCCAGCUGAGUUUGGGUCUCUUGCUUGAAGGAAUUAAGGGGCAUUAGUGGCUGCUAGGGCCAGGUGAGCUGAGGCAACAAAGAAUCCAGUUGUACCACUAGCUCAAGAAUAUCCAGAAGGCCCAGCAUUAAAACUCUGUGAAUGUCUUAAAAGAGGAGGGGAAGUGGGUUAAGCUUGAGAAGAGAGGGAAAGAUUAGAAAACAAUGUGAGCAAUUUUUUCAUUGUAGGAGUAUUCUCUAUUGCUCUGCUGGGUCCUGUCUGCGUUGAAAAGACCCAGCUGCUGAACUGGUAAGAGGUUGACUGCUGCCUCUGCAUGCGUGGAGCACAGGAACUGACAUGGCUGUGAGGGCUGGAUUUGCUGUACCUUGGAAUUGCUGUGAGACUUGGGCCAGUUUAUCAUCCCACCUCUACAAGGAGAGGAAUCCACCAAGGCCCUCCAUCCCACAUGCUGACUGACACUUGAAAGAUUUACUUGGCCAUGACAGGAGUUGAUGGUGGGGAGGAGAAAUUCUUUCUUAGAUUUUUUAAAUCUGAAAAAUGGAGAAACC